UCCCUGGAGGACUAAUGGUUAAGCCACAGCGCUCUCACCACUGUGGCCUGGGUUCAAUUCCCAGCCAGGUAU
rnacentral:tRNA from 1 species